GAAAUGCGAUAAGUAAUGUGAAUUGCAGAAUUCAGUGAAUCAUCGAAUCUUUGAACGCACAUUGCGCCCUUUGGCAUUCCGAAGGGCAUGCCCGUUCGAGCGUCAUUACACCACUCAAGCCUGGCUUGGUAUUGGGCGACGGGACAGCUCCCGCGCCUCUAAUCGAUCGGCUGGACGGUUCGAAUCUCAGCGUUGUGGUCUCAUCAAAUCGCUGGCGAGGACGACCGGACGCGCCGUUAAACCCUCUAUCAAAGGUUGACCUCGGAUCGGGUAGGGAUACCCGCUGAACUUAA
rnacentral:misc_RNA from 1 species